GCAAUUCAUCCAGAGGCGCUGGAGGGUUCUCGGGCCCAGAGGGCCUGCCAAAAAGGCAGUCAGACAGUUGGUUUAUGAGUCAUUCUGUCUCUGUCUCUCCUCUCUUUUUUUUUUUUGAGACGGAGUUUCGCUCUUGUUGCCCAGGCUGGAGUGCAGUGGCGCAAUCUCGGCUCACCGUAACCUCCGCCUCCCAGGUUCAAGCGAUUCUCCUGCCUCAGCCUCCCUAGUAGCUGGGAUUACAGGCAUGUGCCACCACGUCCGGCUAAUUUUGUAUUUUUCGUAGAGACGGGGUUUCUCCAUGUUGGUCAGGCUGGUCUCGAACUCCUGACCUCAGGUGGUCCGCCCUCCUCGGCCUCCCAAAGUGUUGGGAUUAUAGGCGGGAGCCACUGCGCCCGGCCCAUUCUGCCUCUCUUACUGCCAAGUAUCCUAGAGCCAUCUUCCGGCUGCAGGGAAUGUGAACUGAAGAGAAAGGUGUCCUCUCUUCUCAUAAAGAGACCCAAAGACGAAUGCCCCGCAGAGACAAGGCCUGGAGUUACCCAUGCUGGAGUGCAGUGGUGUGACUGUAGCUCCCUGCAGCCUCGAACUCCUUGGCCUCAAUUGAUCCUGCCACCUUACCUUCUGAGUAACUGGGACUACAGUGUGUGUCACCACACCUUUUUUUUUUUUGACAUGAGGGAUAUAUGCUGGUAAUAAAAAUAAAAUUUUGGGGUAUGGCAAUAGGCAUGCUACUCAAAAUGCUGCCAAGUUACAAAGUGUAACUAUGAUUUGUAAUGGAUAGCAGCAGUGACAAGUGAUGAGAAUGGUCUCUUGUCAUGACUACUCUGUUAUAGUGUAAAAGCAGCCAUAGACAGUAGAUAAAUGAAUAAGUAUGGCUGUAUUCCAAUAAAGUUUUACUCAUGGACACUGAAAUAUGAAUUUCAUAUAAUUUUGUGUCACAAAAUAUUAAAUUUUUUUUCUAGCCAUUAAAAAUGUACAAAGCAUAAUUAGCUGUGGACUGUACAAAAGCAGGAAGCAGGUUGGACAUGGCUUUUGGGCCAUAGUUGGCCAACCCCUGCUAGAGAACAUCUAUACAUAGCAGCCUUUUGAGUAGUUUUGUUCAUCUGAGGUCAUGAAAAGGAAUUAGUAUUGGCAGGGUGCGGUGGCUCACGCCUGUAAUCCCAGCACUUUGGGAGGCAAAGGCGGGCAGAUCACCUGAGGUCAGGAGUUUGAGACCAGCCUGACCAACAUGGUGAAACCCCGUCUCUACAAAAAAUUAGCCGGGUGUGGUGGCGCAUGUCUGUAAUCCCAGCUACUGGGGAGGCUGAGGCAGGAGAAUAGCUUGAACCCAGGAGGUGGAGGUUGCAGUGAGCCGAGAUUGUGCAUUGCACUCCAGCCUGAGCAACAGGAGCGAAACUCUGUCUCAAAAAAACAAAAAACAAAAAAACAAAAAAACAAGGUGGCACAGCUGGCUUGAGCAACUGAACUGGAAACAAGAUGCAGGACCCCAACGCAGACACUGAGUGGAAUGACAUCUUAACGCAAAAAGGGUAUCUUACCCCCCAAGGAAAGUCUGAAAGAAUUGGAAGAGGAGGCAGAAGAGGAGCAGCGCAUCCUCCAGCAGUCAGUGGUGAAAACAUAUGAAGAUAUGACUUUGGAAGAGCUGGAGGAUCAUGAAGACGAGUUUAAUGAGGAGGAUGAAUGUGCUAUUGAAAUGUGCAGACAGCAGAGACUGGCUGAGUGGAAAGCAACUAAACUGAAGAAUAAAUUUUGAGAAGUUUUGGAGAUCUCAGGGAAGGAUUAUGUUCAAGAAGUUACCAAAGCUGGUGAGGGCUUGUGGGUCAUCUUGCACCUUUACAAACAAGGAAUUCCCCUCUGUGCCCUGAUAAAUCAGAACCUCAGUGGACUUGCCAGGAAGUUUCCUGAUGUCAAAUUUAUCAAAGCCAUUUCAACAACCUGCAUACCCAAUUAUCCUGAUAGGAAUCUGCCCCGAUAUUUGUUUACCUGGAAGGAGAUAUCAAGGCUCAGUUUAUUGGUCCUCUGGUGUUUGGUGGCAUGAACCUGACAAGAGAUGAGUUGGAAUGGAAACUGUCUGAAUCUGGAGCAAUUAUGAUGGACCUGGAGGAAAACCCUAAGAAGCCGAUUGAAGAUGUAUUGCUGUCAUCAGUGUGGCACUCUGUCCUCAUGAGGAGGGACAGCGAUUCUGAGGGUGACUGAGGCUACAGCUGCUAUCACAUGCCGAACUUUCUUGUGACAAAUGUCUGGAUUUUUUAAAAAAGGAAAAAGCAAGAAUGAAUCCUUCUGGUUUUUAGUUUUGUAUAAAUUAUGUUUCAAAUCUUUACAUUUUGGAAAUAAUCAUUGCUGGAAAUUCUGUUAAAUAUUUUGGAACUUUUUUUUAAAUUAUAGUAUUUCCUCUAAAAAAAUUAAAACCAGCCAUUAGUAAAAAAAAAAAAGAAAAGGAAUUAGUAUUUUAAAAGAGAUUAUUCAUAUUCCUUCUGUGCUGUAGGUUUUGUAUUGUAGUUAAAUACAAAACUCAGUGAUUUCAAAGUUUUAAAAGUCCAAUUUCUAAAGAUAAAAACACAUUUGCAUUUCUCAGCAUACUCAGCAUACCAAUAUACAUUACAUAUUUCUGUGUUUGAUAUUAUCUUCUCUUCACUGGAAAGGUAAAAUUUUUUUUGUUUUGUUUUGAUACGGAGUCUUGCUCUGUUGCCCAGGCUAGAGUGCAGUUGCGCGAUCUCGACUCACUGCAACCUCCGCCUCCCAGGUUCAAGUGAUUCUCCUGCCUCAGCCUCCUGAGUAGUGGGAUUACAGGCAUGUGCCACCACAUCCGGCUGAUUUUUAUAUUUUUUAGUAGAGACAGGGUUUCAGCACGUUGGCCAGGCUUGUCUUGAACUCCUGACCUCAGGUGAUCCACCCACCUUGGCCUCCCAAAGUGCUGGGAUUACAGGCAUGAGCCACUGCGCCCAGCCAGAAUUGGCUAACAUUAUUAUGGAGGUUGGCAAAUUCAAAAACUUCAGGGCGGACCAGCAGGCUAGAUAGAGACCCAGACAAGAGCCAAUGCUGUGAUUCAAAUCUGAAAGCCUGUCUGUUGCAGAAUUCCUUUUGGCUCAAGAGAGGUCAGUCUUCUACUCAGUUCAACUGAUUGGUUGAGGCACACCCACAUUAUCGCAAGACCACCUUCACAGAGACAUUCAGAAUAACAUUUGACCUCAUAUAUGGGCACCGUGGCCCUGCCACGUUCACCCAUAAAUUUACAAUCAUACCUCCUCAUUAAAAAAACAAAGGGCUGGGCUAGUGGUGGCUCACACCUGUAAUCCCAGUACUUUGGGAGGCCAAGGUGGGUGGAUCACCUAAGAUUGGGAGUUCGAAACCAGCCUGACCAACAUGGAGAAACCACAUCUCUACUAAAAGUACAAAAUUAGCCAGGCGUGGUGGUGCAUGCCUGUAAUCCCAGCUACUCGGGAGGCUGGGGCAGGAUAAUCGCUUGAACCCAGGAGGCAGAGGUUGCGGUGAGCGAGAUCACACCGUUACACUCCAGCCUGGCAACAGGGCAACAAGAGCAAAACUCCGUCUCAAAAAAAAAAAAAAAGAAAAAGAAAAAAAAUCGCCCAAGCGUGAUAGCUCACACCUAUAAUCCCAGCACUUUAGGAAACUGAGGCAGGAGGAUUGCUUGAGGCCAGGAGUUCAAGACCAGCCUGGGCAACAUAGUGAGACCCUGUUUCUAUAAAAAUAAUAAAAAAUGAAAACAAUUUUAAUUAAAAAAAGGAGUCAAGUCAAAGGUGGGAGGAAAGAGCAAAACUACCACUCUUAAAAUGUUCCGAAGCUUCUAAGCGCUAGAAAUCUUCCAGGUAGAAAUUAAAGUUAGAAUUUAAAAAAUAUAUUGUUCUGUAAAAAAUAAAGAACUUAUUCACUUAAUUUUCUUUUUUGGUUUUCUUUUCUGUUUUUUUGAGACGGAGAUUCGUUCUGUCGCCCAGGCUGGAGUGCAAUGGCGAAAUCUCGGCUCACUCCCCUCCCACACCCUGUGCCGGGUUCAAGCGAUUCUCCUGUCUCAGCCUCCCAAAUAGCUGUGAUUUUAUUUUAUUUUAUUGAGGGAGGGUCUUGCUCUGUUGCCCAGGCUGGAGUGCAGUGGCCCGAUCUCAGCUCACUGCAGCCUCAACUUCUGGGCUUAAGCAAUCCUCCCACCUGCCUCAUGAGUGGCUGGGGCUACAGGCACACACCACCAUGCCCAGCUAGUUUUUGUAUUUUUACUACAGAUGGAGUUUUGCCAUGUUGCCCGGGCUUGCAUUCUUAUUUUUAAGUAAGUCUUUGAAAUCCAGUGUGUAUUUUACACUUAUAGCACAUCUCAUUUAGGACUAGCCACAUUUCCAAUGCUCAGUAGCCAAAAGUGGAUAUUAGCUACCAUAUUAGACAAUGCAUCUCUAAGGGGUGAGAUUAUCGAAACUUUCACUUUGUAUUUUACAUAUUAUUUUGUUUUCCUGAAUGUUAAAAAAACCAUAUAUUGCUCAUACAGUCAGAAACCAUAAUAAAAUAAAAAGUCAAUUGCUCUGAAGUCAGAAAGAAUUAUGCUUUUGAGUAGGUGUUAUACAAUAGUAAAAACCAAACAGUAGAAAAGGUUAUAUACUGACAGUUUUAUGUGUGUUCUCUGUGCACUUGUCUAGAAGAUGGGCCACAAUUUUUGUAGAUUAUGGUCUUUCAGAAGUGGUCAGUAAACCAAAAAGAAAUUUAAAACCAAAGUCAAAGAAUUUCAACAACAAAAUUCCACAGAAUUUAGACAGAGGGUUAAUUACUUUGCCAUGUUAUAAUGAGGUUCUAUCCAGGCUUCUUGUCAGGAAUUAGUGCUAGACAAAUAGGAAGCUCUUUGAGGGAGAGAAAAACAACACAGGUUGGGGGACCAGUGAAUAAUUGCUUCCACUACCCCUCUAGAGGUAAACUACCAACCUAUCAUCCCUGAAACCAAUGAGAUUUCAGGAGGAUGGACAACAUUUUUUAAAUUUUGAGACAGGAUCUCACUCCGUCACCAAGGCUGAACUGCAAUGGCAUGAUCACAGCUCAUUGCAGCCUCAAACUCUGGCCUGAGCAAUCCUCCCACCACAGCCUCCCCAGUAGCUGGGCCCACAGGCUUGUGCCACCAUACUCGGCUAAUUCAUUUUAAUUUUUGCAGAGACAGGAUCUCUCUAUAUUGCCCAGGCUGGUCUUGAAUUCCUGGGCUUAAGCGAUCCCCUGCCUCGGCCUCCCAAAGUGCUAGAAUUAUAGGCAUGGGCCACCGCAUCCUGCCUAGUCAGAACAUGCUUAAAGCAGGAAUCUUAAAUAGAAUGCAAUGUCAGCUGGGCACGGUGGCUCACGCCUGUAAUGCUAGCACCUUGGGAGGCCGAGGCGAGCAGAUCACUUGAGGCUAGGAAUUGGAGACCAGCCUGGCCAACAUGGUGAAGCCCCAUUUCUACUGAAAAUACAAAAAAAAAAAAAAAUGGCUGGGAGUGGUGGCUCACACCUGUAGUCCCAGCUACUUUGGAGGCUGAAAGGAGGAUCGCUUGAGCCUGGGAAGCGGAGGUUGCAGUGAGCCGAGAUUGCGCCACUGCACUCCAGCCUGGGCGACAGAGGGAGACUGUCUCAAAAAAAAAAAAAAGAAAAAAGAAUGCAAUGUCAGGGCUAGAAAAAAUGAAGAAUUAACCAACUCAAGAUGAGAUUCUAAAAUAUUCAUUUUAUUUUCCCCCCUGUGUAUCAGCUAAAUAUGAGGAAAAAAAGAGGUGGAAGUAUAAAUUAAUUUCAAGAAUAUUUUUCAGGUUAUUUAGGUAAACUAAAUAAAUAAUAAAGUAAAUAAACCAGAAGAAGUUGUGUUUUGUUUAAAAGAGUAGUAAAGAAAUCCUUGACGUUUCUAUUUCAUCUCUUUUGAAGUUUUUCUGAAAGGCAGUAGAACUUUUAUAAAAAUGAUUCAUUAUAUUCUCAAUUGAAAAUUUAGGGGCUGGGGGCAGUGACUCAUGCCUGUUAUCCCAGCACUUUGGGAGGCUAAGGCGGGCGGAUAACUUGAGGUCAGGAGUUAGAGACCAGCCUGGCCAACAUGUUGAAACCCCAUCUCUACUAAAAAUACAAAAAUUAGCUGGGUGUGGUGGCGCACAGCCUGUAAUCCCAGCUACUCGGGAGGCUGAGGCAAGAGAAUGGCUUGAACCUGGGGGGUGGGGACAGAGGCUGCAGUGAGCCGAGAUUGCGCCAUUGUACUCUAGCCUGGACAACAAGAGUGAAACUCCAUCACAAAAAAAAAAAAAAAAAAAAAUUAAAAGAAUGCAAAAUAUCUCAUUAUUUUUUAUGUUGUUUAUAUGUUGAAAUGCUAAUAUGAAUAAAUAAAAUAUAUUUUGUCUUUUUAAAAUAUGGCUAUUAGCUAACUUAAAAUUUCAUAUGAGGUACACCUAUUUCUCUUGGACAGUGCCACCUUAGCAACAAUUUAAAAAUCAGUAAGUACCUUUUGCCGGGCGCGGUGGCUCAUGCCUGUAAUCCCAGCACUUUGGGAGGCCGAGGCGGGAGGAUCACCUGAGGUUGGGAGUUCAAGACCAGCCUGACCAACGUGGUGAAAGCCCAUCUCUACUGAAAAUACAAAAUUAGUCGGGCGUAUUGUCGUAUGCCUGUAAUCCCAGCUACUCGCGAGGCGGAGGCAGGAGAAUCGUUUGAACCUGGGAGGCAGAGGUUGUGGUGAGCCAAGAUCACGCCAUUGCACCCCAGCCUGGGCAACAAGACCAAAACUCUGUCUCAACGACAACAACAACAAAAAAUCAGUACCUUUUAUUGAGUAUUUACCACAUGUUAGGCACUAUUUGGAUUUCUAACAUGAUUUAAUUGAUUAGAUUAUCACAAUAGUGAUAUGGAUUGGGAAUUAUUAAUAUUACCAUUUUUCACAGGGCAGACCACAGAGUUUAAAUUACAAGUCAAGAUAAUGCUGCUGGCAAAUAACAAUAAUGGGAUUCUUCCAUGGUCUAGCUUUGGAGCCUGGUGCUCCUUCAGUAUGCUAAACAGGCUCUGUUGUCUGGGGUCUCCAUGGUUCAGACUUUGUUAAAUUUUUUCACACUUUACUGAUACAUAAUUUUUUUAAAAAACUGGAAUCAUAGUAUACUUAUGUAUUGCAAUUUGCUGGAAAAUUAAAAAAGACAAAAAACCUUACACCUUGGUUAUCUUCCCAUUAACCAGGUGUGCUAGUUGGUACCCAGCAAAACAACAUCACCAUUCCCAUUCUGACUCAAACAUAACUGUUCACAAGCAUUUCUUAUAUUGUGGUUUCUUUCCAUUGUCAUGGAUUUUGGGCUCUAGUUUCUCUGGGGCCUUUUGUUAGCCAUAGACACUGCAGUGAUAAUUUUUUGUCUGCUGCCAUUAUGAAAAACUGAUUUUAAAAAAUUAUUAUUAUUGUUAGAGAUAAAAAUAAUAAUACCUCUACUUCUAGUACCAUCCAGUUUUUCCUAAUCAUUUGCAGGACAAGAAUGAAGAUGAGAUUUAAUCUAUAAUUGGAGAAGCAGAAGUUGUAGCUUCAUGAUAUGUGAUUCAGGCCACAUAGCCAUAUUCCUCUCAAGGCUGAAAAUAUUUUAAAUUUCCAACAGCUUUAAGUUUAAAUUAUU
rnacentral:lncRNA from 1 species